ensembl:lncRNA
CAGGCAUUGACUUCCGUUCCUAGGCAGACGCAGGAGUUUGAGCAUCUGAAUAUCUCCAAUACAUUGACCUCUAUGAGAUCAUCAAAUGGCACUGAAGUAUUAUAGCAGAAGAACAAGAAAGCUUGUAUCAUAUAGAAGGCAUUAUGUUGGAAAUGAGCAAAUGCAUUUCAUAGAAUCACAGAAUCAGAAUAUCCUGAAUUGGAAGGCACAUACAAGGAGUCCACCAUAUCUAAGUGUUGGUACAAACAGCAGCACCACACAAUCCCAAACCCUGUGUGUGAGAGCAGUGCCCAAACACUCCCUGAGCUCUGGCAGAUUGGGCUGUGCCCACCGCCCUCUGGGCACAGCCUUUCCCUGACACGCUGACCC